rnacentral:rRNA from 1 species
CCUACGGGUGGCAGCAGUGAGGAAUAUUGGUCAAUGGGCGUAAGCCUGAACCAGCCAAGUCGCGUGAGGGAUGAAGGUUCUAUGGAUCGUAAACCUCUUUUAUAAGGGAAUAAAGUGUGGGACGUGUCCUGUUUUGUAUGUACCUUAUGAAUAAGGAUCGGCUAACUCCGUGCCAGCAGCCGCGGUAAUACGGAGGAUCCGAGCGUUAUCCGGAUUUAUUGGGUUUAAAGGGUGCGUAGGCGGCCUUUUAAGUCAGCUGUGAAAGUCUGUGGCUCAACCAUAGAAUUGCCGUUGAAACUGGGAGGCUUGAGUAUGUGAGAGGCAGGCGGAAUGCGUGGUGUAGCGGUGAAAUGCUUAGAUAUCACGCAGAACCCCGAGUGCGAAGGCAGCCUGCCAGGCCAUAACUGACGCUGAUGCACGAAAGCGUGGGGAUCAAACAGGAUUAGAUACCCUAGUAGUC